AGGAUAAACGCUGGCGGCGUGCCUAACACAUGCAAGUCGAACGUCCUACGCAAGUAGGGAGUGGCGGACGGGUGAGUAACACGUGGGCAAUCUACCUUUCGGUGAGGAAUACCGGCGAGAAAUCGCCGACAAUACCGCAUACGCUUCGCAAGAAGCAAAGUCGCAAGACGCCGGAGGAGGAGCCUGCGCCCGAUUAGCUGGUUGGUGGAGUAAUGGUCUACCAAGGCGACGAUCGGUAGCUGGUCUGAGAGGAUGAUCAGCCACACUGGGACUGAGACACGGCCCAGACUCCUACGGGAGGCAGCAGUGGGGAAUAUUGGACAAUGGGGGAAACCCUGAUCCAGCCAUGCCGCGUGUGUGAUGAAGGCCUUCGGGUUGUAAAGCACUUUCGCACGUGACGAUGAUGACGGUAACGUGAGAGAAGCCCGGCUAACUUCGUGCCAGCAGCCGC
rnacentral:rRNA from 1 species